rnacentral:rRNA from 1 species
GAUGAACGCUGGCGGCGUGCCUAAUACAUGCAAGUCGAGCGAACGGACGAGAAGCUUGCUUCUCUGAUGUUAGCGGCGGACGGGUGAGUAACACGUGGAUAACCUACCUAUAAGACUGGGAUAACUUCGGGAAACCGGAGCUAAUACCGGAUGAUAUUUUGAACCGCAUGGUUCAAAAGUGAAAGACGGUCUUGCUGUCACUUAUAGAUGGAUCCGCGCUGCAUUAGCUAGUUGGUAAGGUAACGGCUUACCAAGGCAACGAUGCACAGCCGACCUGAGAGGGUGAUCGGCCACACUGGAACUGGGACACGGUCCAGACUCCUACGGGAGGCAGCAGUAGGGAAUCUUCCGCAAUGGGCGAAAGCCUGACGGAGCAACGCCGCGUGAGUGAUGAAGGUCUUCGGAUCGUAAAACUCUGUUAUUAGGGAAGAACAUAUGUGUAAGUAACUGUGCACAUCUUGACGGUACCUAAUCAGAAAGCCACGGCUAACUACGUG